GGCCGGUCCGAUUCGGUUUUGAAAGUUUAAAAUUGUCUGGACUCCCAUAGAACUACGCCGUUUCCUAUGCUUUAUUUUUAAUUUUUUUUCUUUUGAACUUCAUUUCCUAUGCUUUAAUUAUUUGCCCUUUUUAUUAAUCCGUUUGGCAAUUGUCUUUUUCCAUCAUUAAUGGCAGUUUAGCUGGUGUUGAAAUUUGUUCUUCUUUUCAAACUUGCUGGCAGAAACACAAGUUAUGGGGGCACUGCACCAAAUUACAAAUACAGUUUCUACAACAAAGCAAUUAUAACAGCAAAAAUAAGAAAGCCAGAAUUUGAACAGGGACAAGCACUGCUUCACUACUGGCAAUGAACAAGGAAAGAGAUACCUGGAAUUAGCAGACGAGGAACUAAUGAGACAGUGCGACAUGGAUACUUUCAAGGCCCCAGGCCCUGGCAGUCAGUACCGCAACAAGCGCGAGUCUGCCGUCCGUCUCAAGCACCUUCCUACCGGUGUUAUUCUCAGCUCACAGCACAAGAAUCGCGCUCCAGCCUUAAGGCGCCUGCGCACUCUUUUAGCUCUAAAAGGUUAAGCACAGGGGCACUAUCAAGGUUGAUACUGGCAGAUGACUCUCUUCGCAUGCCUGUGAAUGACUUGAGGAUUUCCAAGGGUCUGAAGCCUCUGAAGUAGGAGGGAAUUUCAGAUGUCAGAUGUUCCAAGACCAAUGGGAACACUAUACUUGUACCCAGUUGUAACUAAGGAAACAGUUAGCUCAGUGCUUAUAGGAGAGGGUAAUGGAGAGCAGUUCCCCGUGUACCAUGCUAGUCAAAUCUUUAAAGGAGGCGAGUUAAAACAUCAGCUCAUCGAUUGCAGUCCAACGAGCCAGUUAGAACCGAACCACAACCAAAUUUGGCAAUUGAAAAUUGCCUGAAAUAGUUGAACAAUGCAAAUUGAAACCGGUGAUGCACUUGUCAAUUAAGAUUUUGUUGCUAUUAAAAAUUAAUUUAAUCGGUCUGAAAUUGAAUGUUGAAUCUGCGGUUCGGUCUAGUCCAGUUCAUUAUAUGUAUAACUAAAAAAUUCUUUUGAAAA